AAUCGAUUAUUCUGAGUUUUGAAAAACUUUGAUGGACACUGCCUCAUCACAAUCGAUUGUCAUAAGGUUCACAAUCGAUUGUCAUGCAGGUUUUGAAAAGCCUGAUGUUCACUGACUUAACACAAUCGAUUGUCAUUAGUUCACAAUCGAUUGUCGUGCAGUCUUGGCUUGACAUAAUCGAUUAUCAUAAGUACAUAAUCGAUUAUCUUAGUCCAGAUU
rnacentral:lncRNA from 1 species